AGUUUGGAAGUUGAAUUGGGUAACGUUGUCUGGCUGAUCAGUUAGGAAGGAAACCUGUUUUGUACGCCUCGCGAAUCGGCGCCGCCAAAUUCCGUGUUUUGAUAACACGCUUAGCCAGGCUAGAAACUUGGGAAUGCCUAAUGUGAUCAUUCUGCAGAGAUGUUAUUGGCUUGGGCGGACCGCAUUUCAUUUAGCCCGGGCUAAGGACAGUCACCCGCUGACUGUCAACAAGAAGAUUUCUAGCUGAGCUGUUUGAAAUGAAGCAUGCAUUGCAUCCGAGUGUGGUAGCUAGUGUCUGGGUGUUCUGGUGGCGAUCGCUGUGUUUUCUCAGUCAGCCUUUGAGGCCGAAAAGAAACAUCACUGACAGUGUUCGAAAGCGGCAAAAUAUGUCUGCUUUUUGUGACUGGCUAUCUCCGGCGCAGCAGAGGGGCAAGUUUAACAAAAUGCCCAUCUAAUGAAUUAUAUUGAUAAACAAUAGGCUGCCCUCCAUCACAUUCAAUAGCAACGCUGACCGCCAGAACACAAGAAACUACAUGUACAUCCAGGACCCAAGUUAAUACAUACUGCAGCCUUCGGCAUGCCAGCUGCCAGUGCAGCUCCGUUAUAAUGUUGCAAAUCAAAAUCGCAUCCAGCAGAAUGAGAGACACUUGAUGGGAUUUCCUUUCCCAAAAGUGAAGGAAACUGCUGCGAUUAAGUUACUCACCUCGCUGGAUCAGCAAGAAUGAUGAAGUUUGUCAUGUUUGAUAUUGAUUCCUUUGGUCAGCUGGCAACGGUCGAACUUGAUUGCGCAUUGUCUGAAUUAUAAAGCAUGCAUUUUAAAUAUCAUCAGAUCACCACAGAAUAAAAUAAUUGACUGCUGAUGCUCUAGCUUUAAGAAGUUAUUUUGUCCUGGUUUCUUUUAAGAGAGAGAUAUGAGCUUGUCAAGACUAUGCGAGGAAACAGUAUGGGAGGCCUGGGUUAUUUUUAACAGCCUGAAUGGGUGUGGCCAGCUCUCAGAUUAGGAUUUCUAGGUUUCAGUUUUUUUCAGUAGCUUCAGAAGCUAUUGGAUUCUUGACAGAGCUGGAAGCUUCAGUGACGGUCUCCUGUCUGCUACUCUCCUUGAAUUUUCUCUUAAUCUUUUUCCUCCCGGAUUGGAGAACUGCAUGUGAGAAUCUCUGUCUGAAUUCUCCUUUUUUGCC